rnacentral:lncRNA from 1 species
CAGCCCCGGCCGCUGGGCGCACCCGUCCCGUUCGUCCCCGGACGUUGCUCUCUACCCCGGGAACGUCGAGACUGGAGCGCCCGAACUGAGCCACCUUCGCGGACCCCGAGAGCGGCGGCGCGACUCACCGCGGAGGCGCCCGGACGCGUCAAAUGUCCGAUGGAUCUGAUGGAGAGGUGGCAGGCGAAAUGCACCUGGCCUCAGGGUCAGGGGCUGUGAAUACAGUAGCAGUUGUAGCUAUGUGGUCAGAGUGGACUAGGACGGUCCUUCCACCAAGAAGGUUGGGCCUUCCUGCUCCUCGUUGUCCAGCUGCAGAAACUGAUCUCAUCCCUCAGGGCUUGGCACAACUGCCCCUUCCUCCUCACAUUCCCAAAUAUACCUACCCCUCCCCAACUCAAUCCUCCUCACCAGACUGUGGUUCCCAGAUGACAGGGCAGAGUUGGACUCACCUGUGUCUGCCAGGCCAGCUCACCAUGGGGGCAGGUCCCAAGAGGCCUCUGGAUUUGGACCAACUUCCAGUGUGACCUUGAACAAGCCCUUAGCCUCCCUCAGCCUCCGUUGCAUGAGGGGUUGUGCUGGCACAUCUCAGAGCAGGUGGUGCUACCUGGUGAGUUGAGGGCUCUGUCCAUCAUCUUUGUCACUGUAAUGCUGGGUAACAAAUGAACACGAAACAAUGAGUGCUCGUU